rnacentral:misc_RNA from 1 species
UUUCCGUAGGUGAACCUGCGGAAGGAUCAUUAUUGUAUAACCGAGGUGCGAGGGCUGUCGCUGACCCGAAAGGUCGUGCACGCCCGAGUGCCCUCACACACAUCCAUCUCACCCCUAUGUGCACCACCGCGUGGUUCCCCCUUUGGCUUGUUCGGAGGGGGGCUUACGCUUUCACACAAACUUUGUAUGCAGUGUAGAAUGUAUUUUUUGUUUUUGCGAUCACGCAAUCAAUACAACUUUCAACAACGGAUCUCUUGGCUCUC